AAGGCUUAGUUGAGUUGAGUUACUUUUAACUUUCCACUCUCAAAUAACCAACACAGUUAUCUGUACCCUUUAUUUUUAAUUAAUUCAGGCUAUCUAAUUUAAUUAAUAAAUUAAAAUAAACUAAGAAAAAAUUAAUUAAAUUAACAUCAGCUCAAAACUAAUUAAAAUUAAAUUAUGGCACUAACAAUUGUCCACCACAUAUGGUUUAGCCGAUAGGCUAUUCCAAUGUGUUUAUCUUCAGUUUAAAAAAUUAAAGUGAUUUUAAUUAUCUAGAAUCCUUUUCAAAGUAAAACCCUUAUCUCUUGUCAAUUCACUUUCCUCCAGCUACACUCAAGUCCAAGUGAAAUUCUUCUGAAGCUCCAAAUGUGUAUAUAUAUAUAUAUAGAGA
rnacentral:misc_RNA from 1 species